GCAGAUGCGGAAGUAAAGCGGAUCGCUCGUGAGAUUGGAGUCCGUUGCUGGUGGUCAACCCGGUCAACCUCUUCGAGAGACAUGUGGAGGCUUCGUGGAUGCUCAAGUGUGGCUGUUUAAUGGUUUAUUCUACAAUAAAUAAUCAGUAGGCAGUUAAAUAUCUAAUCAGACGUCUGUCGGUGAAUAUUGCAUCUCCUCUCCGCCCGGAGCUCAUCCAGAAAUCAUCGGAGCAGCGGAAGAAGGUAAGGAAGGAUGUCAUCCUACUAUUCAUCGUCCCGUAGCUCAUCCCGGGCCACUGACUGUAAAGUGUACGUGGGUGACUUGGGCAACGGUGCUGCCAAGGGAGAGCUGGAGCGAGCAUUCAGUUAUUAUGGCCCGCUGAGGAGCGUGUGGGUGGCACGAAACCCACCUGGCUUUGCUUUUGUUGAGUUUGAGGACCCCAGAGAUGCAGAAGAUGCUGUGAAAGGAAUGGAUGGAAAGGUUCUCUGUGGUUCUCGUGUUCGAGUGGAAAUGUCAACAGGCCUCUCCAGGAAGGGCCGUGGGCGCCCUAGCCGACGCCAGUUUGACCCUAAUGAUAGGUGUUAUCAGUGUGGGGACAGGGGCCACUAUGCCUAUGACUGCUACCGCUUUAGCAAGCGAGGAGGAGGCCGUCGCAGCAGGUCCCGCUCUCGUUCUAGGUCCCGGUCCAGGUCCAGGUCCCGUGGACGCCGUUACCGCUCUCGAUCCCGCAGCCGCAGCUACAGCAGGAGCCGUCGUCGAUCUCCAUCCUACUCAAGGCGCAGGAGCAGGUCUGGCUCCCAAGCCCGUUCUAAGUCCAGGACUCCGGUUAGAAGUCGCUCCAGAUCUAGAUCUCGUUCUGGCUCUGCACCCAGAGGACGCUCUGUCUCUCGGUCUCGCUCCCGCUCUCCAUCAGCUAACAACAAGAGGAACAGCGUGUGGUGGGAGCUGCGCACUGCACUGACACCACAGCUGAUCCCAGGCCCAGGGUCUGCCAGCUGGCGGUGUGUACGUCCUGCGGGAGGGUGACAUAGCGCUGACCUGAGAUCAGCCUUCGUCUGCAUCUGGUGUUAGACAGCGAGAAAGAGGUCGACCUACAGACCGAACCCUCCUCACAGUGAAAGGGUGACCGUCUGUUCAACCGACGCACACGCUCAGAUGAGAUCAGCCCGCGCACACAUACAGUUGUUCUACUAGAGUCACCCAGACAGCCUUCAGAUCUACCAGAGGGCUGACCCACACAGAUCAGAGUUCGACCACUACCUUUUAAAAUCCAAAAUCUACCUACCAGACCCCCGUAUCUACCUACCAGAGUUCUUCAGCCUCUGUCUUAGCUUCUGAAAGUGAGAGAAAGAGCUGACGAGAGAUCAGUCUUCAAGAGGCUCCCAGCGCAGUGUCUCUACAAGUUGUAGUCAUCCGUCCUUCAGUCCUUUCAUCCUUCGCUUCUCUGUACUUGUUGUUUCUGCCACUGUCUGCAAAGUCGUUCCCGUUCAGCAAGUCCAAACCGAAGCCCUACUCCAGCAGAAGACUGAGUGCGGAAGACAAUAAGUCCCACCUAAUGCUCCCCUAAUCAGACAGACCCUCACCCCUUCUCUAUGUCUGCUUUUACAGCCUAAUAGCAGCUAUUUUUUGUACUUGUUCAUCUCCCCUCGUUACGUUUAAGUUAAUUUUUGCUGAGGAUUAGUUCCCCCUCCCCCUGGACUGUGGAAGUAUGGCCUCAGAUUGCUGAAGAUUUGGUCAGUAUGGGCAAAUAAAGAUGCGUUUCUAUUUGAUUGUUUUAAAUGUUGUUGCUGUUUAGAUUAUCUUACUUCUUAUGAGUCAUGUACGUAGUUUAAAAAUCACCACCUUUGUUAAGGUAAGACUGAAUGUUGCAGAGGACUUUUAACAGUAAUUUGGGAAGUUCUAUAGGAAGGCUGCUCUGUUCAUACCAUGUCUAAAGGUGAGGAUAGUGCAUUUAAACUACUUUUAUUCCCUAAGCUUCAAUUUCUGAACCUUAGUUUUCCCCACUGCAGAAAGGUAACAUUGUGUUUUUGUAAUGCUGUCCUUGUUUGAUUUCUUUGAGCUGUCAUAUGAUGGAAGAUGACAGUUGCAGGUCUGCAUGCCUUUAAAUAUGAUGUCACAUUCCUACUGUUUAUUCUGUCUGUGCUGAUCUUCCCUUUCACAAACCUUAUGAACUUCACUGUAUGCUGAAAAGGUUUGCCAUUGGUGUGGAUCCCCCCGUUUGUUUCUGUGAAUUCUGAUUUUAAAAUGGAUACAGUGCUUCAGUUUGAUUUCUUUAAGGGCUGCUUUACAGUUUUGUUCUGUUCCCGGCUCAUAUGGUUAGACAGUGGCAAUUUUAUUUUUAAAUAAACCUUGUCAGACAA